AUGGCGCUGUCGACGCCGACGGGCUACUACAAGUGCGGUCCAACCCAAUCCCCAACCCUAUCGUACGCACCUGCCACUUCGGCCCUACCACCAGAGACGGACACCCAAGUUCGUUGCGACGCCGGAGGGUUAUUAGGGGGUAUCCCAAUGGAUAGGACGCCCGCGGGUGGCUGUCGGCUUGAGCUGGUGCGGUACCAUCAUGAAUAUCGGGAUGGGUGGACGGGGAGGAAGGGUGGAAGCCAGGGCGACAUUGGGAAAAAACACGGGCCAUCGGCAGACAAGCAAUAA
rnacentral:rRNA from 1 species